rnacentral:snRNA from 1 species
UGUGGCAACUUUAACAAUGAGGAGUUGGAACAAUUAGAGAAGAUUAACAUGCCUCUUGUGCAAGGAUGACACACGGAUUCAUGAAAUGUUCAAUAUUUUU